UGGUUCUGGCAUCGAUGAAGAACGCAGCGAAAUGCGAUAAGUAAUGUGAAUUGCAGAAUUCAGUGAAUCAUCGAAUCUUUGAACGCACAUUGCACCUUUUGGCAUUCCGAAAGGUAUAUAUGUUUGAACGUCAUUUAAACAUCAAGUUAAACUUGGUCUUGGGAACCAUCGCUGAUGCUCCUCAAAUUAAUCGGCUUGAUCAUUUCAAGAUGGACUUUGCAAUGUAACAGUUUAAUCUCUGAAGCGACCGACGCCUUUUUAAAUCUCUUAACGCUUAAAACUUGACUUCAAAUCAUAUAAGAAUACCCGCUGA
rnacentral:misc_RNA from 1 species